rnacentral:rRNA from 1 species
CAGCAGCCGCGGUAAUACGUAGGGUGCAAGCGUUAAUCGGAAUUACUGGGCGUAAAGCGUGCGCAGGCGGCUUUGUAAGACAGAGGUGAAAUCCCCGGGCUCAACCUGGGAACUGCCUUUGUGACUGCAAGGCUGGAGUGCGGCAGAGGGGGAUGGAAUUCCGCGUGUAGCAGUGAAAUGCGUAGAUAUGCGGAGGAACACCGAUGGCGAAGGCAAUCCCCUGGGCCUGCACUGACGCUCAUGCACGAAAGCGUGGGGAGCAAACAGGAUUAGAUACCCGCGUAGUCCCUGUCUCUUAUAC